CUAGAAUUUUUGUUUUACUAGAAUUGAUGGGAGUAUGAGACCCCAGAGUUUACAUGUAGCUUCCAUGGCAUGGGUCAAAUAUAAAUUGAUAGGAGUAUGAGACCCCAGAGUUAAUUUAUUUGAAAUUUUCUAUCUCAUUUGGGCGGUUUCCGGUAAAAAGGGUGCCCUGAAUUGUUGACUUCCUAGGCAGAAAUUCUUGGUCAAAUUGUUAUUUCAGCACCAUAUGUAUCCCUCUGUUCCAAAAUAUACCUAUUUUCCUUACUAUAGGCUGGAAUUAUCCUUAAUCUAAAAAAAAUACAAAUGAGGAGACUUUGACCUUAUAUGUAUCCCUCCGUUCCAAAAUAUGCCUAUUUUUAGAACUUUCUCUAGAAUUGGCAACACAAAAAAUAAUAUUAAUUAAUAUUUUCUAGAAUUGGUUAUAGAAUUUACUACAAUAGUUCUACUAGAAUUUUUUUACUAGAAUAGUUUCACUAGAAUUCUUGUUUUACUAGAAUAGUUUUUACUAGAAUAGUUUUACUAGAAUUUUUUUUACUAGAAUAGCAUUUUUUUAGAAUUGGUUAUAGAAUUUGUGAAAUUUUUAAUUUGUGUUGGCAAUAAGAAAAAGAUAAAUAAUUACAGAUUAUGGAGCCUACAAAUGAACCACAUGUAUGCAAAGUAGUUGAGACUACAUUGCCAGAGGCCGAGGAAUCAUCGGACGAGGAUGGAUAUUCUUCUGGUGGUUUUUUAACACCAGAUGAAUAUCAACCAAGCCCACUGAGGCAUCAUCGACGCCUAGACGCAGAAGACCCUGAAUACGAUCCAUACGUGGAGGUAGAACUAGUUGUAUAAUGUUUUAGUUAUAUGCAUCAUUUGAUCAUAUAUAUGAAGAUAACAAAUGCAUCUAUUAUUUGCUCUAUAGAACGAUGUAGAAUCACCAGAGCAGUCCCCACGGCGACAACAUAGAAUUAGCAUCGUUGAAGAGGACGUCGUAGUCUCUGGCCCACAACCUUCGACUACUACAACUUCAACUAGUAAGCCGAAACGUAAACGUGGGCAGCGAAGCGAGAAUUAGAUCCCUAAAGUGUGUCUUGUAGUAGAAGAGGUUAGUCCCAGAGGCAAGCCCAUAUUACCAGAAAGGAUAUGGGCUAGAUUUUGGCAUGUAUGUGGAGCCAUUGCUGGGGAUCAACUACAGACCUGGAUCACCACUAAUGAUUGGAAGAAGGUGCCCGAUUCGGUUAAGAAGUCUAUGUGGGCUGCACUGCAAGCAUGCUUCAGGUUCCCUAAAGGUAAACCGAAGGAAGAUGCAAGGAAAUUUAUGAUGAUCACCCUAAGGACAGCUUUCAGGAACUUCCGGCAUACUAUCCAUAAAGAUUAUGUCAAGAAAGGGUUGAGUGCUAAAAGCAAAUUCAGGAAGAUUCCUGAUAUGAUGUGGGAAGAGUUCAAACUGAUGAAGAAUGUGCCGGAGGGAAAAGCUUUGAGUCAACAGAUGACCGAGAAGGCUCAAAAGGCUGCUGAGAAUCCCUAUCACUUGGGUGUGGGUGGCUACAAUGGCAUGAUCCCUCAAUGGAGGAGAGAGAGGAAGAAGAACAAAGGAAAGCAGGUUUACCGGAUCCGUUUGAAGGCAUUUUUGAGCAUGCUAAGUACCGGUGCCUAGCUCGACGACCAAGAUACAGAGGGGGCAAGGUUGUAUUCGAGAACCCGGCCACUGCGAAACUUUAUGAAAGGUUGGCGCAGAUCGUUGAGGUGCAACAACAAGGUCUUUUCCAUCCUGACAGGUAGAAAGGAUCAACUAACCGCUGCAAUUGGCACCCUAGAGCACUCUGGACGUGUUCGUGGGGUUUCAUCAUCAUUGCCCUGGAAACAAGCAUUUCCUAAUGACCCCGACUAUAGGAAGCGUGACCGUUACAAGAAAGACCUUGAAGAAAAUAUGAGAGCAAUCACAAAGGAAGAAUUCUCUCAAUUAUUGGCAAGGCAGUAGGGAUCCUUUGUGCCAAAUGCGGCAGAAGCUAACCAAGAUGUGAUGGUUGUUCAAUCUGGAUUGAUUGCUCCGAGCAGUGUCGGGUCCACGACACAACAUUGGUAUCCAGUUGAUGACAUACAAGUGGAUACAACUUGUACGCUGGUUGUGUCAUAUAGAAGGAAACUAAAUAAGUUUCAAGAAGUCGCAACUGCCAUGGCGGUAACGGGUCACGUGUUUCCAAGACUACCUACUCCAUAAUAUGCCUGUGUACAAGUUAUUAAGGUGAUGGACUCUACAUGCGAGUUAGACAUUACUACUGAUGACGGGAUUGAGGUUCUUGGAGAUGCGAUCAAUCAAUACGUCCAGUGGCAUCGACGAGAUAACAUUUUGCAAGGUUGUCUGAGCCAAGAACUACAACCCUGAUCAGAGGCAAACAUAGAGCACGCAGCGCUAUCACCCGUCCCAGAAGGAAAUAAUCGGGAGGAGGAUCAAAUAACAUCUGCAGGCAAUGACGGAGUAGAUGAUUUUCCACCUUAGGAUCCGACACCAGCAGAGCCACAUUUAUCAGAAGCUAACAUUGAGGCUGAGUGACCCGUCUUGCCAUCAUAGAAAUCACCACCCAAGAUCACAAAUGCCAUCACCGCAAGCCCCACCAAAGAUGCCGGAAAUACCUCAUGUGCUCACUACAUAUGAAAAGGCACCAUCUGCAAAUGUUGAUAAGAUUCUAAGGUCAAUGAAUAAGAUGCCUUCAUCGUCCAAAAAUAAGGAAAAGACGCCUUUAUGAAGGGACAUAGAUCUAAUGGAUCUUUUCUCACAUGAAGCUGAGAUAUGCCCGGAACAAUAUGUGCAUGGCAGGCCAUUCUUGCCUCGCGUGGAUUUACAGCUGAACCCAUGGGAAUUAAAAAAAGUUCCAUGGCUGGAUCAUGACAGCGAUGAAGCAAGGGAUCAAGGAAAUCACCGUGAUGGUCCCACCUUCUAUUUUCAACAACCCAGUCGCGCAUCAAAUAAUUGAUUUUGAGGACUUACAAAGACUUUACCAUCCGCAACAUAUGGACGUCAAUCUCAUUAUUGUGUUCUGCCUGAUGCAAUGGCUGGAGGAAGAGAAGACACAAAAAGCACAAGGUCACGUACCUUGACCCAGUGCGAUUUCACAAGACCGAGCACAUCUUCAAAAUGACCAAAAAGGUAAAAGAACAACAAAAAACUACGAAGACGAAAAAGGGAAAAAUGAGAUCAAAGAAGAGGCACACAAAAAAGAAAGGCACAAGGUGCCCGUCUACAUUGCAAAAGUGAUGCUGAAGAGGGUUGACAAGAAUGGGAUCAUGGCUCCAUAUGGAUUUGACAACCAUUGGAUUGCUAUAAUGAUUAAUCCCAAGAUCGGCAGAGCAGUGGUCCUAGACUCAUCCGACUAUGAGCAAAAACGAUACAUGGAGUUCAUAGGCAUUUUACAAAACACAUACCACCUUUAUGUCAUAAAAGGCGGGCCACAUCUACCGGAAGGAAAUUAUGAACAUACGAUAUCAUUUUCAUUGCCACAAGCAACCUCCUAGCUCCAUGCUAUGUGGAUACUAUGUGUGCGAGUUCCUUAGAAAUAGUGGGAGGUACCGGACAAACCCUGAAAACGUGCUUAUCAUCCCUACGACCAGCAGUAGACUGGACGAUAGAGACAUCGACAAUAUUUGCCUGACAUAGCAAGGUUCAUCCAACGCGAGAUUUGUCAUCUGGUGGGCGAAUACUUUGACCAUGGUGGGGUGCUGGCUUUGGACGAGCACAAGAAUAUUAGCAA